rnacentral:rRNA from 1 species
CAGCAGCCGCGGGAAUACAGAGGGUGCGAGCGUUAAUUGGAUUUACUGGGCGUAAAGCGUGCGUAGGCGGCUUUUUAAGUCGGAUGUGAAAUCCCUGAGCUUAACUUAGGAAUUGCAUUCGAUACUGGGAAGCUAGAGUAUGGGAGAGGAUGGUAGAAUUCCAGGUGUAGCGGUGAAAUGCGUAGAGAUCUGGAGGAAUACCGAUGGCGAAGGCAGCCAUCUGGCCUAAUACUGACGCUUAGGUACGAAAGCAUGGGGAGCAAACAGGAUUAGAUACCCCCGUAGUCCCUGUCUCUUAUAC